UACGUAGGGUGCGAGCGUUGUCCGGAAUUAUUGGGCGUAAAGAGCUUGUAGGCGGUUUGUCGCGUCUGCUGUGAAAAUCCGGGGCUCAACUCCGGACUUGCAGUGGGUACGGGCAGGCUAGAGUGUGGUAGGGGAGACUGGAAUUCCUGGUGUAGCGGUGAAAUGCGCAGAUAUCAGGAGGAACACCGAUGGCGAAGGCAGGUCUCUGGGCCACUACUGACGCUGAGACGCGAAAGCGUGGGGAGCGAACAGG
rnacentral:rRNA from 1 species